rnacentral:rRNA from 1 species
AUUGAACGCUGGCGGCAGGCCUAACACAUGCAAGUCGAGCGGAGUGGCGGACGGGUGAGUAAUGCCUAGGAUUCUGCCUGGUAGUGGGGGAUAACGUCCGGAAACGGGCGCUAAUACCGCAUACUAUCAGAUGAGCCUCGGUCGGAUUAGCUGGUUGUUGGGUUAAUGGCCUACCAGGGCGACGAUCCGUAACUGGGCUGAGAGGAUGAUCAGUCACACGGGAACUGAGACCCGGUCCAGACUCCUACGGGAGGCAGCAGGGGGGAAUAUUGGAAAAUGGGGGAAAGCCUGAUCCAGCAAUGCCGCGUGGGUGAAGAAGGUCUUCGGAUUGAAAAGCACUUUAAGUUGGGAGGCGUUACCAACAGAAUAAGCACCGGCUAACUUCGUGCCAGCAGCCGCGGUAAUUC